GACAUGGCAUUACGUGUACAUUUGCUUAUAAUGGCUUGUGCUCCAGAGAAUAGAUAAUUGUAUUUUUUAAACGUUAACAGUUUUACAAGAAAGAAGAAGCAUAGGAACAUCUUUUAAAAGAUUGAAUAUGGCCUCCUUAACCAUUUGUGGCAUAAUCUUGGGAUUAUUUCUGGAAGUGUUGACCCAAGGACCUCCAAGGUUUUCCUGGAAACAUCACGAGCUAAAUCUAUUAGAAUUCAAAGAACCAGAUAUUCUGAAUUAUUCAUCUUUUCUGCUAGACGAAGACAAGAAAACGCUCUAUGUUGGAGCAAGGGAAAUAAUUUUGGAACUAGACAUAGAAAAUAUUACUGUAAAAAAGAAA